GCGGACGUGGUGCACGGCGCACCGCUGCUUUCAAUAAUCCAGAUAUCUAUAAUGGCCAUUUGAGCAGCCAGCCGGGGUUCGAUUCCCCGCGUCCGCA